rnacentral:misc_RNA from 1 species
GAAAUGCGAUAAGUAAUGUGAAUUGCAGAAUUCAGUGAAUCAUCGAAUCUUUGAACGCACAUUGCGCCCGCCAGCACUCUGGCGGGCAUGCCUGUUCGAGCGUCAUUUCAACCCUCAGAACCCCUUGCGGGAUCUGGCGUUGGGGAUUGGCAUCCAGCCAGCCCCGAAAUCUAGUGGCGGUCCCUCCGCGACCUCCCCUGUGCAGUAGCGAUACCUCGCAGCGGGACAGCGGUCUGACCACGCCGUAAAACCCCCAACUUCACAAGGUUGACCUCGAAUCAGGUAGGAAUACCCGCUGAACUUAAGC